UGAAUUUAUCGCGUGGUUUUUCCCUCCCCCGCCAGUUGCAGCUUCUCGAUUACUCUAAAAGAAGAAAGAAAUUAGUGAUAAACAAAGAUUCAAUUUAGUCAUGUAUUUAAUAUUUGUUGCGGACGGAGCGUUGUCAACAUCCCUCGCGGUUUUUCGGCCCCCUGAGUCUGGGGUGUUGUUGUUAUUAGAGUUUCAAGGAGGUUGACGAGACGAGAGCUGCGUUCGUACCUGCUACGGAGUACGAAGAAUCCGAGAGUCGGUUGCCGUGGUACGCCAUCCAUCAGUGUCGUUUCUUUUGAUUCUUGUAUGGAGAGGCUAUGUGAAACAUGACCAUGUCGUAUUUAAGUUAGGGAGGAAAGAGGGGAGUCGGUAGCCGUGCAGGAUCUUGGUCUUUCGAUCGCUGACCUUGUGUCGGACGAGUUGGCUUCCAUUAUGAUACCCUUGCUCCAAAGGCACGGUGGAUCUUUUUCGAUUUCUGCUUAUCUUUUUGAGAAUCGAGAAGAUCGUUUGACCAUUUAGUUGCGGGUGAGGAAAGGAGAGAGUAGCGUAGCUUAACCAAGGCUAAGUUCUUUUAUCGCUUUUGCCCGAAUGCGUGGAUAGUAUUCUGGUAUUCGUGAUGGAAGCGCCCAUCGUUUGGUUUGUGGGAUUUUUUUUUGUCGGCAAGGAAUUCUGCUCUUUCCUACAGACACGACGUGUACAACACCACAGCGAACCUCCAGGUUGUGAAUGGUCACCGCUGGGCUGUCGUGGUCCGUGUGCACCAAGUACAUGCUCGUCGUCUCUCUAACGAGCGUCUCCCGACAGUGAACUUGGACGCCCUAGUAUCUGGAAAAUACCCAAAUCUAGUUCUCUUUCUCUCACCUGCCACACCAUCCUAAAAUUAAUGCUCAGCACUGACGCACUCAAUCCCUCUCUUCUCUCGCAUUCUCGUUGCCUUAACUGCCUUAUCCUUUGUCACUCUCAUCAUGAGCCCUCAUUUGGUCAAAAGCACAACCAAGCUUGUAGGAUUCUGUUGCAUUGGUGGCUUAAGUUGACGCUUGAUGUACCUCCGCGAUGUGUACCAAGUGUUGAAUAGUGAAAGGCAACAAGCAAAAACGCCUACAAAGUAGAUUUUCUCACUUAAAUUCAUGAAAUUCAGGGCUUACGGUUUGCACUGAAGUUGCCUUAUUGUGACAACGCUCAUUGCUAAUAUACCAGGCAUUCAUCACAAACUUUCA